rnacentral:rRNA from 1 species
UACGUAGGGGGCGAGCGUUGUCCGGAUUUAUUGGGCGUAAAGAGCGUGUAGGCGGUUCGGUAAGUCUGUCGUGAAAUCCUGAGGCUCAACCUCGGGCGUGCGAUGGAUACUGCCGGGCUAGAGGGUGGUAGAGGCGAGUGGAAUUCCUGGUGUAGCGGUGAAAUGCGCAGAUAUCAGGAGGAACACCAAUUGCGAAGGCAGCUCGCUGGGACGUAACUGACGCUGAGACGCGAAAGCGUGGGGAGCAAACAGG